rnacentral:lncRNA from 1 species
AAAUAUAAACGAUUGUAAGUUGUUUCCAUUCAAUUCCGGCAAACAAAAUACUUACGAUGCUAGAGUUAUUGCAAUUGUUAAAAUAUGAUUUUAUCCAAUUUAUUAUCCAGCAGUACUACGGUACACUGUACAUCUUAAUAAGGGAUUUGGGCAUUUCAUGGGAUGGCGUUAUUUCUACCCCUUAAUUCAACGGCCUUUCCCGCUCCAAACGCUACUACAACUACAAGCAUAGUUCAGACUGGAAAUGGAAAACACGAGUGCGACCUCUGCCAUCUAUAAAUGGUAAUCGUUCUCCAAUACAUAUUUUAACAUCAAAGCGAAAAAAUACAGUCUCGACCAUAUGGGUGGCGACGAGCCAGCUUGCUGCGCGGUAUUAACAUCACACAGUAGAUGUUUUCUUCGCGAUCAUCGGCCGAUCGCAUCUCGGGUGUGCACGGCGAAAAAGGUAGUUCAUCGUCGUCCUUCAUUCUCCGGGACUCAGAGACGAGAGAGCUGAGAUCCGAUGGGGAAGUAAGCCAUCGGGAUCGGAGGAGAUUUCGGCUUCCGCUUGGAGGAGUUCUUGGAUUUCUCUUCAUCCUUCGCGUGGCCUUUGCUUCUUGAGCUCCUCCGCGGCUGGUCCUUUCCUUCGCAAUUGAUCUUCUUGGAGUAGCGAAACCAACCCAAGAAGCUCGACAAGAUUCUCAUGAUCGGCGGCAGCGGCGGCGGCGACCAUGACGGUCGCCGACGGACUUGUAGUUGUCGAGUCUUGAAUUGGCCUGAUUUUUCUAUGACCCUUGGAAGCUGAAAAGCUGACAAGAACAAGUGGGAACGUUGGUGAGUCUCUUCUUUUGCUGUGAAGCGAAUCACAUGCACUUCCCUUGUG